AGCCUUCUGAAUCAGUGCCGAGAUUUCGUCAGGCACAAAACCAUCAGUACUGAUGGGACCCUCAAGAAAAGUGAAGCG
rfam:Schistosoma rodhaini strain Burundi genome assembly, scaffold: SROB_scaffold0001076